GAGGAGCGAAAGCGUGGGUAGCAAACAGGAUUAGAUACCCUGGUAGUCCACGCCGUAAACGUUGGGCACUAGGUGUGGGUCUCUAACCAACGAGAUCCGCGCCGUCGCUAACGCAUUAAGUGCCCCGCCUGGGGAGUACGGUCGCAAGACUAAGACUCAAAGGAAUUGACGGGGGCCCGCACAAGCAGCGGAGCGUGUUGCUUAAUUCGAUGCUACGCGAAGAACCUUACCUAGGUUAAAUCAUUGGGAAAAGCCACAGAGAUGUGGUGUCCUUCGGGGCUCAAUGAAGGUGGUGCAUGGCUGUCGUCAGCUCGUGUCGUGAGAUGUUGGGUUAAGUCCCGCAACGAGCGCAACCCUUAUUCUAUGUUGCCAGCACGUAAUGGUGGGGACUCGUAGGAGACUGCCGGGGUCAACUCGGAGGAAGGUGGGGACGACGUCAAGUCAUCAUGCCCCUUAUGUCUAGGGCUGCAAACACGCUACAAUGGCCGGUACAGAGGGCUGCGAAACCGCGAGGUUUAGCGAAUCCCAUAAAGCCGGUCUCAGUUCGGAUUGAAGGCUGCAACUCGCCUUCAUGAAGCUGGAGUUGCUAGUAAUCCCGGAUCAGCACGCCGGGGUGAAUACGUUCCCGGGCCUUGUACACACCGCCCGUCACACCACGAAAGUCGGCAACACCCGAAGCCGGUGGCCUAACCGUAAGGAAGGAGCCGUCGAAG
rnacentral:rRNA from 1 species